rnacentral:rRNA from 1 species
CGGUGUUUAACUGGCGUGAUGUGGGACGUCCUACCGGUGGGCUUAGCCUCGCGAGGGGCGGCCCAACUAAUAUCCCGUCGCGGUGCUCUUUACUGAGUGUCGAGUCGGGCCGGUACGUUUACUUUGAACAAAUUAGAGUGCUUAAAGCAGGCUAUCCUCGCCUGAAUACUGCGUGCAUGGAAUAAUGGAGUAGGACCUCGGUUCUAUUUUGUUGGUUUUCGGAACCCCGAGGUAAUGAUUAAUAGGGACAGAUGGGGGCAUUCGUAUUGCGACGUUGGAGGUGAAAUUCUUGGAUCGUCGCAAGACGGACAGAAGCGAAAGCAUUUGCCAAAAAUGUUUUUCAUUAAUCAAGAACGAAAGUUAGAGGUUCGAAGGCGAUCAGAUACCGCCCUAGUUCUAACCAUAAACGAUGCCAGCUAGCGAUCCGCCGAAGUUCCUCCGAUGACUCGGCGGGCAGCUUCCGGGAAACCAAAGCUUUUGGGUUCCGGGGGAAGUAUGGUUGCAAAGCUGAAACUUAAAGGAAUUGACGGAAGGGCACCACCAGGAGUGGAGCCUGCGGCUUAAUUUGACUCAACACGGGAAACCUCACCAGGCCCAGACACCGGAAGGAUUGACAGAUUGAUAGCUCUUUCUUGAUUCGGUGGGUGGUGGUGCAUGGCCGUUCUUAGUUGGUGGAGCGAUUUGUCUGGUUAAUUCCGAUAACGAACGAGACUCUAGCCUGCUAAAUAGGCGUACCUUAUGGUAUCGCGAAGGCCCCCGGCUUCGGCCGGUGGGUUUUUACUACCAACGUACAAACAAAUCUUCUUAGAGGGACAGGCGG